UUGAAAAUAUUCACCCGGCACUGAUAAUAUCAACAUCAGUGCCGGUUGAAAAUUUUCAACCGGCACUGAUGUAUUAGUGCCGGUUCUAAAUUUUGAACCGGCACUAAUAGUUCAGCCAUCCGCGGGAAAAAU
rnacentral:snoRNA from 1 species